UUAAGCGACUAAGCGUACACGGUGGAUGCCCUGGCAGUCAGAGGCGAUGAAGGACGUGCUAAUCUGCGAUAAGCGUCGGUAAGGUGAUAUGAACCGUUAUAACCGGCGAUUUCCGAAUGGGGAAACCCAGUGUGAUUCGUCACACUAUCAUUAACUGAAUCCAUAGGUUAAUGAGGCGAACCGGGGGAACUGAAACAUCUAAGUACCCCGAGGAAAAGAAAUCAACCGAGAUUCCCCCAGUAGCGGCGAGCGAACGGGGAGCAGCCCAGAGCCUGAAUCAGUGUGUGUGUUAGUGGAAGCGUCUGGAAAGGCGCGCGAUACAGGGUGACAGCCCCGUACACAAAAAUGCACAUACUGUGAGCUCGAUGAGUAGGGCGGGACACGUGGUAUCCUGUCUGAAUAUGGGGGGACCAUCCUCCAAGGCUAAAUACUCCUGACUGACCGAUAGUGAACCAGUACCGUGAGGGAAAGGCGAAAAGAACCCCGGCGAGGGGAGUGAAAAAGAACCUGAAACCGUGUACGUACAAGCAGUGGGAGCACGCUUAGGCGUGUGACUGCGUACCUUUUGUAUAAUGGGUCAGCGACUUAUAUUCUGUAGCAAGGUUAACCGAAUAGGGGAGCCGAAGGGAAACCGAGUCUUAACUGGGCGUUAAGUUGCAGGGUAUAGACCCGAAACCCGGUGAUCUAGCCAUGGGCAGGUUGAAGGUUGGGUAACACUAACUGGAGGACCGAACCGACUAAUGUUGAAAAAUUAGCGGAUGACUUGUGGCUGGGGGUGAAAGGCCAAUCAAACCGGGAGAUAGCUGGUUCUCCCCGAAAGCUAUUUAGGUAGCGCCUCGUGAAUUCAUCUCCGGGGGUAGAGCACUGUUUCGGCAAGGGGGUCAUCCCGACUUACCAACCCGAUGCAAACUGCGAAUACCGGAGAAUGUUAUCACGGGAGACACACGGCGGGUGCUAACGUCCGUCGUGAAGAGGGAAACAACCCAGACCGCCAGCUAAGGUCCCAAAGUCAUGGUUAAGUGGGAAACGAUGUGGGAAGGCCCAGACAGCCAGGAUGUUGGCUUAGAAGCAGCCAUCAUUUAAAGAAAGCGUAAUAGCUCACUGGUCGAGUCGGCCUGCGCGGAAGAUGUAACGGGGCUAAACCAUGCACCGAAGCUGCGGCAGCGACGCUGAUGCGUUGUUGGGUAGGGGAGCGUUCUGUAAGCCUGUGAAGGUGUGCUGUGAGGCAUGCUGGAGGUAUCAGAAGUGCGAAUGCUGACAUAAGUAACGAUAAAGCGGGUGAAAAGCCCGCUCGCCGGAAGACCAAGGGUUCCUGUCCAACGUUAAUCGGGGCAGGGUGAGUCGACCCCUAAGGCGAGGCCGAAAGGCGUAGUCGAUGGGAAACAGGUUAAUAUUCCUGUACUUGGUGUUACUGCGAAGGGGGGACGGAGAAGGCUAUGUUGGCCGGGCGACGGUUGUCCCGGUUUAAGCGUGUAGGCUGGUUUUCCAGGCAAAUCCGGAAAAUCAAGGCUGAGGCGUGAUGACGAGGCACUACGGUGCUGAAGCAACAAAUGCCCUGCUUCCAGGAAAAGCCUCUAAGCAUCAGGUAACAUCAAAUCGUACCCCAAACCGACACAGGUGGUCAGGUAGAGAAUACCAAGGCGCUUGAGAGAACUCGGGUGAAGGAACUAGGCAAAAUGGUGCCGUAACUUCGGGAGAAGGCACGCUGAUAUGUAGGUGAAGCGACUUGCUCGUGGAGCUGAAAUCAGUCGAAGAUACCAGCUGGCUGCAACUGUUUAUUAAAAACACAGCACUGUGCAAACACGAAAGUGGACGUAUACGGUGUGACGCCUGCCCGGUGCCGGAAGGUUAAUUGAUGGGGUCAGCGCAAGCGAAGCUCUUGAUCGAAGCCCCGGUAAACGGCGGCCGUAACUAUAACGGUCCUAAGGUAGCGAAAUUCCUUGUCGGGUAAGUUCCGACCUGCACGAAUGGCGUAAUGAUGGCCAGGCUGUCUCCACCCGAGACUCAGUGAAAUUGAACUCGCUGUGAAGAUGCAGUGUACCCGCGGCAAGACGGAAAGACCCCGUGAACCUUUACUAUAGCUUGACACUGAACAUUGAGCCUUGAUGUGUAGGAUAGGUGGGAGGCUUUGAAGUGUGGACGCCAGUCUGCAUGGAGCCGGCCUUGAAAUACCACCCUUUAAUGUUUGAUGUUCUAACGUUGACCCGUGAUCCGGGUUGCGGACAGUGUCUGGUGGGUAGUUUGACUGGGGCGGUCUCCUCCUAAAGAGUAACGGAGGAGCACGAAGGUUGGCUAAUCCUGGUCGGACAUCAGGAGGUUAGUGCAAUGGCAUAAGCCAGCUUGACUGCGAGCGUGACGGCGCGAGCAGGUGCGAAAGCAGGUCAUAGUGAUCCGGUGGUUCUGAAUGGAAGGGCCAUCGCUCAACGGAUAAAAGGUACUCCGGGGAUAACAGGCUGAUACCGCCCAAGAGUUCAUAUCGACGGCGGUGUUUGGCACCUCGAUGUCGGCUCAUCACAUCCUGGGGCUGAAGUAGGUCCCAAGGGUAUGGCUGUUCGCCAUUUAAAGUGGUACGCGAGCUGGGUUUAGAACGUCGUGAGACAGUUCGGUCCCUAUCUGCCGUGGGCGCUGGAGAACUGAGGGGGGCUGCUCCUAGUACGAGAGGACCGGAGUGGACGCAUCACUGGUGUUCGGGUUGUCAUGCCAAUGGCACUGCCCGGUAGCUAAAUGCGGAAGAGAUAAGUGCUGAAAGCAUCUAAGCACGAAACUUGCCCCGAGAUGAGUUCUCCCUGACUCCUUGAGAGUCCUGAAGGAACGUUGAAGACGACGACGUUGAUAGGCCGGGUGUGUAAGCGCAGCGAUGCGUUGAGCUAACCGGUACUAAUGAACCGUGAGGCUUAACCUU
rnacentral:rRNA from 1 species